rnacentral:rRNA from 1 species
AGUGAACGCUGGCGGUAGGCCUAACACAUGCAAGUCGAACGGCAGCACAGGGGAGCUUGCUCUCUGGGUGGCGAGUGGCGGACGGGUGAGGAAUACAUCGGAAUCUACUCUGUCGUGGGGGAUAACGUAGGGAAACUUACGCUAAUACCGCAUACGACCUACGGGUGAAAGCAGGGGACCUUCGGGCCUUUCGCGAUUGAAUGAGCCGAUGUCGGAUUAGCUAGUUGGCGGGGUAAAGGCCCACCAAGGCGACGAUCAGUAGCUGGUCUGAGGGGAUGAGCAGCCACACUGGAACUGAGACACGGUCCAGACUCCUACGGGAGGCAGCAGUGGGGAAUAUUGGGCAAUGGGCGCAAGCCUGAUGCAGCCAUGCCGCGUGGGUGAAGAAGGCCUUCGGGUUGUAAAGCCCUUUUGUUGGGAAAGAAAUCCAGCUGGCUAAUACCCGGUUGGGAUGACGGUACCCAAAGAAUGAGCACCGGCUAACUUCGUGCCAGCCGCCGCAGUAA